rnacentral:rRNA from 1 species
GAACAACGCUGGCGGCGUGCCUAACGCAUGCAAGUCGGGCGGGGUCCCCUUUCGGGGGGAUUCAGCGGCGGACGGGUGAGUAGCGCGUGACCGACCUGCCCGCGGGUGGGGGACAACCCCGGGAAACCGGGGCUGAUACCGCAUGCGUCCGGUCGUCCGUGGGGCGAUCGGGGAAAGCCCUUCGGGGCGCCGGCGGAGGGGGUUGCGUCCGAUUAGCUAGUCGGUGGGGUAACGGCCUACCGAGGCGACGAUCGGUCGCGGGUCUGAGAGGACGGCCCGCCACAGGGGGACUGAGACACGGCCCCCACACCUACGGGUGGCAGCAGCGAGGGAUUUUCGGCAAUGGGCGCAAGCCUGACCGAGCAACGCCGCGUGCGGGACGACGCCCCUCGGGGUGUAAACCGCUUUUGCCGGGGGCGAAGAUGACGGUACCCGGCGAAUCAGCCUCGGCUAACUACGUGCCAGCCGCCGCCGUAAUAC